UGGUCGAUCUCUUUGGGCAAUAGGCCGAUCUCUAUGGGGGAGCCAACUGUAAGCUAAAUUCUAUGGCCGAAUUCUAUGGCCGAUUUUUAUGGGCGAACAAGGAAGUAGGCUGAUCUCUAUGGGAGCCCGGAGCAAGCUAAAUUCUACGGUCAAACUCUAUAGUCGAUCUCUUUGGGUAAUAAGCCGAUCUCUAUGGGAGAGCCAGGAGCAAGCUAAAUUAUAUGGCUGAACUCCAUGGCUGAUCUCUAUGGGCGAACUAGAAAGUAGGCUGAUCUUUAUGGGAGCCCGGAGCAAACUAAAUUAUAUGGUCGAACUCUAUGGCCGAUCUCUUUCAGCAAUAGGUCGAUCUCUAUGGGAGCCAGGAGCAAGCUAGAUUUUAUGGCCGAUCUCUAUAGGCAAACUAAGAAGAAGGCUGAUCUUUACGGGAAAGCCAAGAACAGGUUAAACUCUAUGACCGAACUCCUCCUCCCUAAAAUUUUGCAAAAUCUUUUUCUUUAUAAUAAAUUCCAAAAAAUAUAGGUUCGGGAGAGAGUACUUUCUUUGAUCCCCACCUUCCUAAAAUUUUACAAAAUUCUUUUUUAAUAAUUUCUUUAAAAAAAAUAAGAAAUCAGUAGAGAGUCAUUUCCUGGAAUCUCUUAACUAAAAUCUUAAUAAAAAAUAUCUUAAGAGA
rnacentral:misc_RNA from 1 species